CAAAUGCAUGUGCUGAAAAAUGCUCGUGGUUGGGUAGAAAAAAUAAUUUUGCUAUUCAUAAGUUACACUUUGUUUCUAUAAUCAAAGAGGUUCUCUGUGCCAUGUACCCAACAUUAAAAGAAAACGACUUCGAAAAGUCUUGUGGCGAGUGGUUCCGCUUCGCUAAACAAAGAUUAAACAGACAAAAGUAAAAAACAUGUUGUACAUAUUCAGAGGUAAUAAAAUUUGUUUUAUUGA